UGCAAGGUGGUUGAGAUUAAACAAUAAAUUGUAAAUUUAUACACGGGCAAUACCCCCUUGUAU
rnacentral:tRNA from 1 species